UGGCGUAAACAAAGGGAAGCAAGACGGCGACGUUAAGCAAAUCCCAAAAAUAACGUCCCAGUUCGGAUUGUAGUCUGCAACCCGACUACAUGAAGCUGGAAUCGCUAGUAAUCGCGGAUCAGAAUGCCGCGGUGAAUACGUUCCCGGGUCUUGUACACACCGCCCGUCACACCAUGGGAGUCGGAAAUGCCCGAAGUCAGUGACCCAACCGCAAGGAGGGAGCUGCCGAAGGUGGAGCCGGUAACUGGGGUGAAGUCGUAACAAGGUAAC
rnacentral:rRNA from 1 species